rnacentral:rRNA from 1 species
GGCGGACGGGUGAGUAACACGUGGGUAACCUACCNAUNAGANUGGGAUAACUCNNGGAAACNGGGGCUAAUACCGGAUAAUAUUUUGAACCGCAUGGUUCNNUANNGUGAAAGACGGUUUCGGCUGUCACUUAUAGAUGGACCCGCGCCGUAUUAGCUAGUUGGUAAGGUAACGGCUUACCAAGGCGACGAUNCGUAGCCGACCUGAGAGGGUGAUCGGCCACACUGGAACUGAGACACGGUCCANACUCCUACGGGAGGCAGCAGUAGGGAAUCUUCCGCAAUGGNCGAAAGNCUGACNGAGCAACGCCGCGUGAGUGANGAAGGUCUUCGGAUCGUAAAACUCUGUUGUUA